CUGAAAUAAAUCAACGAGACAGGAAAGGCUCUGAGAUGCUUAUUCCAGUGAUGGUGCUGUGUGCAACAGCACUUUCAUUUUUUCUUGAUCCAGCCGUGGAGACCCAGUUUUAAGUUUAGGGAAAUUGGGAUGCCAGUCGUGGCCCUGUCAGCUGCAUCCCUUGUUCUCAGCAGGGAACUCCUUUGUUCAACCUCUUCACACUCCAGCUUGUCUGCAUGACAUGCUGCGUGCCAGGUCAAUAUAUUUUAUUUCUUCUUGUGUCUCCAUCCUGCUCUUUCACAUCCUCUGAUAAGGGUUUGGUACGUCCUCCUUAAAUUUAACACGGUAUUCCCUAAUUGUCCUCCAGUGCUCUGGUUUGUGUCACAGUUUUAUACAUAAUAUAAUAUAUAUAAUAUCACUUGGACAGGUUGGUCAGCGGAUGGUCUUACACUAUUUUUAGUUACACAAAAGCCUUUUUUACAUCUGAUGUUUUGCUAAGGUCUAUAACACAGCGUUGGAAUGCCAGGCUCUUUCUUGCACCAAGGUCAGGGAGAUAACAAAACCAGACACCAAGAUCCCAAGAAAAGAAUUAUUGCCUCCUUAUUGGGAAAGUUCAGACUUUGAGGAACCAAGAAGGUUGAUUUACAAGAUGGGGGGAAGCUGAAAUUAAGCAGAAAUACCCUGUUUUGAAAGGAAUGUUUGAAUCAUGUAUGAAAUAUAUGAAUAUGCAAAAGGCUACAGCUUUUAUGGGGUAAUCCUUUGUUAGCAAGGUGUGCUCUGUGGCAGAGUACCAGGCACCCAGACAUCUGUAAUUCUUUUUUAUUGUCUCUUAUUGUCCUAAUUUUUGUUACUAUUUUCAUUACUGCUUUCAUUACUAUUAAACUUCUAAAAUUUUAACACAAGUGAA